CUGCCAUAGCCUGCACUAAAGCUCAU
rnacentral:piRNA from 1 species